AUGAGAAGAAAAGGGUGGAGGAGCAAAGGAGAUUCGCGAAGAGGAAAACUGGAAAAACGCAAAACAGAAGACCGAGAAAUGAGAAUUUUCGAAAAGUGGCUGAGGGACAGACGGACGGGGCAGGAGCGCGAAGGGCGCAGAAAGGCCGGGCGCGAGGGCGCGAGGGCGCAGCGAGGGUCCCCGGGGGGCGGCGCUGGGGUCCCGGGGAGGGGGGUCGGGGCGCGAGGGGCGCGGGGCCCCGAGGGGGGGCGCGGAGGUCGGGGUGGGGUGGGGGGGUUCGGGCCCUUCUCCGGGAGCCUCGCCCCGCUGCGCGGGUCCCCGCAGCCGCAUUCCUCCGGGUUUCCCACACGCUCGCCAUCAAAGAGUCCCCAAAGCCCAGCUUUGCCCGCGCCCCUCCCCCGCCAGGGCUGGAGAAGCCUAUUUUUCACCCCCUCCUGGUCUUUAAUCUGUUGUGGGGAAAGAAAGCGGCUUUUGUUGGGCGAGGGGCUGCGCGGGGGGCGGGAGGGGGCGCGGGCGAUUGUGUGUCUCGCAGCUGCGCGCCUGGGGCCGCCGGGGGUGGGGGCGCGGGGCGCGGGCGGGAGGGGGCGGGGGGGGGGCCGGGGGCGCGGGGGGCGGCGCGGAGGGUCAGGCGGGGCGACGCGGGGCGCCCUGGCGCAGGCCGGGAGGGCCAAGGUCGGAGCGGGCCAGGAUGGGGCGGCAGCCAGGGCGCGGGGUGAAGGCGGAGGGGGUCGCGCGGAGGGAGGCGUGGCGGAAAGGCCACCCGGGCGUGCAAGCGCAUUGUCCCCUUGGCCCCGUUUGCACCUGGCCCGAUGGACACAUACGAGGCGGGCCGUGAGGGAGAAGGCUGCACACCCAGGCAGGCGCGUACCGGGCGGGGCCCACGGAGCGGGGCGCCCCGGGAGACUCACCACGCAUCCAGAUAGGCCGCAGUGCUGCGGAGACCCACACUCUCACCAGGGCCCAGGCAGCCACCCUCAACAGGAGGAUCCCCAAACCCAGAGGCGGGUGAAGGGCACACGCUCAGGAAGGAACACAGGCAUUCAGAGAAGAACCCACUUACUCAGAGACAUACACGCAUCCACUGCCUGA
rnacentral:lncRNA from 1 species